GGGACAAACGCUGGCGGCGUGCCUAAGACAUGCAAGUCGGACGGGAGGCUUCGGCCUCUAGUGGCGGACGGGUGAGGAACGCGUGGAGAACCUGCCCCGGGGUGGGGGAUACCCGCCAGAAAUGGCGGUUAAGACCGCAUACGAAGGCACCGUGCAGGCGGUGUCGGGAAAGCAGCGAUGUGCCCUGGGAGGGCUCCGCGUCGGAUUAGCUAGUUGGUGGGGUAACGGCCUACCAAGGCUUCGAUCCGUAGCUGGUCUGAGAGGACGGCCAGCCACACUGGGACUGAGACACGGCCCAGACUCCUACGGGAGGCAGCAGUUAGGGAAUUUUGACAAUGGGCGCAAGCCUGAUCGAGUGACGCCGCGUGCGGGAUGACGCCUUUCGGGGUGUAAACCGCUUUUCCCAGGGACGAGGAGGGACGGUACCGUGGGGAAGAAGUCGUCGGCUAACGUACGUGCCAGCAGCCGC
rnacentral:rRNA from 1 species